rnacentral:rRNA from 1 species
AUUGAACGCUAGCGGGAUGCUUAACACAUGCAAGUCGCACGAGUGGCGGCCGGGUGAGUAAUACAUCGGAAUCUACCCAGUAGCGGGGGAUAACUACUCGAAACUGUGGCUAAUACCGCAUAAUAUUGGAUCGGCCCAUAUCGGAUUAGCUAGUUGGUGGGGUAAAGGCUCACCAAGGCAACGAUCCGUAGCUGGUUUGAGAGGAAGACCAGCCACACUGGGACUGAGACACGGCCCAGACUCCUACGGGAGGCAGCAGUGGGGAAUAUUGGACAAUGGGGGAAACCCUGAUCCAGCCAUCCCGCGUGUAUGAGAAGGCCUUCGGGUUGUAAAGUACUUUUGGCAGAGAAGCGGUAUCUGCAGAAUAAGCACCGGCUAACUACGUGCCAGCAGCCGCGGUAAUUC